rnacentral:rRNA from 1 species
AUUGAACGCUGGCGGCAUGCCUUACACAUGCAAGUCGAACGGCAGCACGGGUGCUUGCACCUGGUGGCGAGUGGCGAACGGGUGAGUAAUACAUCGGAACAUGUCCUUUAGUGGGGGAUAGCCCGGCGAAAGCCGGAUUAAUACCGCAUACGAUCUACGGAUGAAAGCGGGGGACCUUCGGUCCUCGCGCUAUAGGGUUGGCCGAUGGCUGAUUAGCUAGUUGGUGGGGUAAAGGCCUACCAAGGCGACGAUCAGUAGCUGGUCUGAGAGGACGACCAGCCACACUGGGACUGAGACACGGCCCAGACUCCUACGGGAGGCAGCAGUGGGGAAUUUUGGACAAUGGGCGAAAGCCUGAUCCAGCAAUGCCGCGUGUGUGAAGAAGGCCUUCGGGUUGUAAAGCACUUUUGUCCGGAAAGAAAUCCUUGGCCCUAAUACGGUCGGGGGAUGACGGUACCGGAAGAAUAAGCACCGGCUAACUACGUG